GACGAACCGUGCGAACGUUGUUCGGAAUCACUGGGCUUAAAGGGCGCGUAGGCGGGCUAUCAAGUCUGGGGUGAAAUCCCACGGCUCAACCGUGGAACUGCCUUAGAUACUGACGGCCUCGAGGAAGGUAGGGGCAUGCGGAACUGUAGGUGGAGCGGUGAAAUGCGUUGAUAUCUACAGGAACUCCGGUGGCGAAAGCGGCGUGCUGGACCUUUUCUGACGCUGAGGCGCGAAAGCUAGGGGAGCAAACGGG
rnacentral:rRNA from 1 species